UACGGAGGGGGCUAGCGUUGUUCGGAAUCACUGGGCGUAAAGCGCACGUAGGCGGGUCAGCAAGUCAGGGGUGAAAUCCCGGGGCUCAACCUCGGAACUGCCUUUGAAACUGCUGGCCUGGAGGUCGAGAGAGGUGAGUGGAAUUCCUAGUGUAGAGGUGAAAUUCGUAGAUAUUAGGAAGAACACCAGUGGCGAAGGCGGCUCACUGGCUCGAUUCUGACGCUGAGGUGUGAAAGCGUGGGGAGCAAACAGG
rnacentral:rRNA from 1 species